GACGAACGCUAGCGGCGUGCCUAAGGUAUGCAAGUCGAGCGGACCAGAGCAAUCUGGUUAGCGGCAAACGGUUGAGUAACACGUAGACAACCUGCCCGGAAGACGGGGAGUAACUACGGGGAAACGUUAGGGUCGUAAUACCGGAUGUGGAAUCGCGGGGCGAUCCCGCGUUCUCUAAAUGGAGCAAUCCGCUUCCGGAUGGGUCUGCGGCCUAUCAGCUUGUU
rnacentral:rRNA from 1 species